UUUUCGUUGGUUAAUUAUGCGUGUUCGUUCUUUUUUAUGUUAUGUUAUGAGCUUUGCCAUACCUGGUAGUUUAUUGGGUGUUUCAUUUUAAUUAGUAUGUUGGAUCGGAUUGUAUGCUGCAACAGUAUUGAUUGUUGAUGAUUUUGAGUUUUGGAUCGGGUUACACGCCAUGACAGUAUUGAUUAUUGAAGGUAUUAUGAUUGGAUCAGGGCACACCGCAAUGGUAUUAUGUUUGAAACGGAUAGUGUGUCUUGUGGUUAUUUCUUGGUUGUUGUUCUCCACUAUGGUGAUGUGUUAUAAGGAUAUGACAUGAUGUUAUCUUCUAGAACCAUUGCUAUGUAUUCUCUUAUUGAAUAUUAUGCUUUUAUUCGUCUCUUUCUAUAUUACUAUUGCUUUCUGCUUAUUACUUGCAUAAGUUUAUAAGUAUGUAUCUUGUCAUAGCCUCGUCACUACCUCGUCAAAAUUAGACUCGAUACUUACUGAGUACAAUGUGUUCAGUUGUACUCAUACUAUACUUCUGCACUUUUUGUGCAGAUCCCAGUGUUGGUCCCAGCGAUGUUCCCAGGGGUGAUUAGCUCGGACUAUUCAGGAGACUUGAGGUAUUUUCUGCAUGUCGUUCGCAAACCUUGGAAUCCCCUUCCUAUCCUUUUAUUAUUGUUUAUUGCACCAAACAAUAUUGUAUUUUCUUGCAGACUUUGUAUUUAGUACUAUCAAUAGCUCAUGCACUUGUGACACCAAAUCUUGGAAAACAUAUUAGUUAGUGUUUGGUUUUAGAAUCAUUAUGUAUUUUUCUGAGUUUUCACUCUUUAUAAAUAUUAGUAUGUUGUUAACUGUUAUACUUGUUUUAUUUAUUGUUAUGAAGUGUUGGAUUGCCUGGCAAGUGGUGUUAGGCGCCAUUUUGUCCCCUUGGUUGGGAUUUCUUGAUACAUAGUUCCACCAAAACAAUCAACAAGAGUUAUAAAAGUUCUCUAAAUUUCCACAAAAUAAGUGCCAAACCUAGAGCAACAAUAGAAACAAGAUUGCACCAAAAACAAUUGAAGAAAAGAGAGAAAUUAUUCUAAAAAUGAGCUACUGUUCAUGCCUCCAAAAUCGAAGCUACAUACCUACAAAUCCAAUCUCCACUGUUGAAAUCCAAGAACCAGAUGUUGAGAACUCCUAGUUCAAAUUUGAAUACAAUCCAAAGGUUAACGAGUCAGAAAUCGCUAUUUGAAGCGUACUGCCUGAACAUAUAUUUUUUGAAGUAAAUAAUAUAAUUUUCUCUUCCAAAGGCUUGAAAAACGGCUAUUAAGUUGUUGUUUCUCUCUUAUUGUGUUUUAGACCUAAAAUAGGUGAUUUUUAUAUUUUUUUGAUAUUAGUCGACUGUAGGAAAAAGUGGGAUAGGUCCAAAAGGCACCUUUUAAUCCACAUAGCAAGGGAAAGGCCCAAAAAACCUAACAAAUAACAUGACCAUGGUAGCCGAGUUUCUACUUUGCAUCUCUUUCGUGUAUGUGCACAUUCUCGUGUUCUUUGUUUCUUAGUCAUCCAGUUGAGACCAUCAUGAAUAAAAGCUGAUCUACUUAAUCUGUUCCUUGGAUAUCAGGAAUCAUAAGAUAUCAUGGCCUCAAUAUUUUACUCUCAAGUCCUAUUUACUAAGUAUAAACUCUAGUUUCUAUAUGUUUCUUUAGUUAUUUGUCUGAGAAGAGGCAUUUUCUAUAGUUUAAUUGUGUUGGAUGUCAUGAUAAGUAAUUUUCAGCUAUUUGUGUUUCUUUCAAUUCCUUUGUGUGUUGCAAUUUUGUAUUUUUUUUAAACUGUACGGUGACAAGCUUUUUGACUAGGAUUUUGUGGCCCAAAUGGGGAGGAAGCACCGUUCUACUUCCAGCAGUUUCUCGCUCUGGUUGCAAUAGCUCUGUUGUUUGCCAUGGGUCAUAUAACAGGGUUGAUAGCUCAUGUUUUCAAUCAACUCCUAGUAUGAAACGUGUGAAUAUUUCACUCGCCUCAUCGUCUGUUAUUUUAGUUAGUGUUGUUAGGCUUUUUAGAAUAGUAUCUUAUCUACUCAUCUAGCUAGGUAAGAUUUGUAGUUAAUCUUUGCUAGCAAUUCUAACUUCUUACAAGUUAGCCCUAAAUUCUCUUGUAAUGGUUUUAUUUCACUGCAGCUGGAUUACUGAAACUUUUGUGUCAUAGCUGAAUCAUUGAACAAAAAAAUGUAUGCUUGGAUGGGGUCCGGGAGCCUCGGGUGUAUUUUGGAUGGGUUUCUGACCAUUUCUCUAAGUGUUGGAUUGUUGUCAUCUGAUGUCUGGUUUCCUUCUUCGUGAUCGCGUAGCUCUUUUUGGUGACAAGUGGGAUUUGUGUAUCGCGUUCGCGAAGCUUUAGGGAGGUUGUGAAUCGUGAACGCGGGCGGGGAGCCGCAUUCGCAUAGAAGGAAGGUAAGGUGUCACGACCCAAAAUCCACUAGUCGUGAUGGCACCUAACCCAACCCGCUAGGUAAAUCAACUAAUAACUAUCCAAUUUCAAUAAUAUUUAACAGGACAAUUAAUCAAAAGAAAUUAUCUGAAUCUUAUACAUUCCCCAAGAACUGGUAGUACAAAUCAUGAGCUUCUAAGAAUAGAAUUUACAAAGCUGAAAUGAAAUAAAUACAUCGUCUGUUUGAAAAGUACAUAAACAGAGUUUUAUAGAUCUAAAGCUACCACGAACAAGGGGCAGCUACAACCGGAACACAGGUACAUCUUCAAUCCAGCUCUCAUCGAACACAGCAACAUCCGCAACCAACAUCUGCACGCAAGGUGCAGAAGUGUAGUAUGAGUACAACCGACCCCAUGUACUCAAUAAGUAACAAACCUAACCUUAUGUUGAAAGUAGUGACGAGCUAACAAAAAAAGGGUCGAGUCCAACACCAAUAUUUCAGAACGGCAUAGUACAAGUAACAAACGAGUAUUUCAGAAAUAAAAGGCUCAAUUCGUUCUCAGUUCCAGAAAAAAAAAUAGGCAUUUCUUUUCAAGUAUCUCCGUGAAAAUCCAAAUCUUUUAUCGAAAAAGCCAAAAAUACGGUGUUCCAUAUUUCCUUUCAGAUAGCAAGUGUUCAACAAUAAAUAAGGUGUUCCAUAUUUCCUUUCAGAUAGCAAGUGUAAGAUGCCUCUCUAUGCCCAUAUGUAAAAAAAUGUAUGAGAAGUCAUAAAUGACGUGAUACUAUACAGCUUGAGGAAAAAUGCAUCUCUAUGACUGUAUGCCAAGUGUGCAUGCCAAAUGCGAUGCAAAUUAGUGAUAAAGAUCAUAUGCAUACUCUCAGAGUAUCAAUUCACUCCGUCCUCCCAGUUACUCAGCACUCGGCACUCACACUCAGUAGGUACCUGCGCUCAUUGGGGUGUGCAGACUCCAGAGGGGCUCCUACAGCCCAAGCUCUAUAAUCCGCACGGACAACUUGCGUCCCAUAAUAUAAAUAUCUGUAAUCGCACAGACAACUCACGUGCGAUAGUAAGCCAAUCUGACCCGCUGCGGCGUGCAGCCCGAUCCCAUAAUCAUCUUGACAACCAGGCCCUCGGCCUCACUUAGUCAUCAAUUUCUCCAGUCUCUCGGCUCACAAUGUCAUGAUACCAACCCGAAAUAAUGAUACGAUGCAUCAAUAAAUAACAACAGAGACUGAGAUAUGAUAUACAUGUGAAUGCGCAUGACUGAGUAUGUAAUGCAGUGAACGAAGAUUACUCAACAACAGAAAUGACCUCAGUGGGUCCCAACAUGAUAAGCAUAUAGACUAGACAUGGUUUCUAACAUAAUCACAGCUCGAUAACACUAGUACGUAGAGAUUUCAUGAUUUCAGACAAGCUCAGAUAACUACACAGUACCACAUAAAUAACGAAAAUCACAGUUCACACGGUGCAUGCCCACAUGCCUGUCACCUAGCAUGUGUGUCACCUCAAAAUCAAACACAUAACACAUAUAUUCAGGGUUAAUACCCUCAGCUCCAAGAUUAGAAGUUACUUAUCUCGAACAAGCCGAUACCAAUGCCGAGCAAGCCAAACGAUGCUCCAAAGAUGGCAUCCCGUGCGUUCCAACCUCUGAACGGCCCGAAACUAACCAAAAAUAACUCAAGUACAUCAAAUAAUGCUAAAGUAACCAAUCCCGAUCGAAAAAGAUCAAAUCUUAAAUCAAAAGCCCAAAAAUCAGCCAAAAGCCCAACCCGGGCCCGCACCUUGAAACUCGACAAAAUUUACAAAAUCCAACAACCCAUUCAAUUACGAGUCCAACCAUACUAGUUUCACUCAAAUCCGACUGCAAUUAGAUGUUCAACACUCAAAAAUUAAUAUUCUGAAAACCAUAAGCCAAAACCCCUAAUUUCCUCUAUAAAAUUCACAAUCCAAUUGCUAAAAAUGAAGAGGGAUUCAUGAAAUGUAAUCAAAAUCAAGUAGAGAACACUAACCCAAAUCCUUAUGAUGAAAUUUGCUCAAAAAAUUGCUUCAUUCCGAAGUCCAUAGCUCAAUAUGUGAUAAAAAUGACCAACCCUCAAACUUAAUACAUUCUGCCCAGCGAUUCCGCAUUUGCGGACAGAUCGUCGCGUCUGCGACCACCACUUCUGCGGUAAAAACUUCGCUUCUACGAAAAUAGCCUUGCUCAGCAAUCCACGUACCUACGGAUAUCAAAUUCCGCUUAUGUGAAGAUUUUCGCACCUGCGCUUACAAUCUCGCAUCUGCGCGCAUGCAGGUGCGCUACAAAAAUUCGCUUAUGCGCUCUUCCUCACCCAGCCUCUUCUCGCUUCUACGCCUCCACUAACGCUUAUGCGACCAUCGCAGCUACGCAAUACCAGUCGCAGGUGCGAUCACACCAGAACCAACAGCCUUCAACAAUGCACUAUGCAACAAAAGUGAUUUGAACCUCAUCUGAAACUCAUCCGAACCACUCGGGACCCUGUCCGAAUAUAUCAACAAGUCCAAUAACAUAACAUGGACCUACUCGAGGCCUCAAAACAUACAUAACAACAUCAGAAUGAUGAAUCACACCCCAAUUCAAAUUCAAUGAACUUUGAAACUUCAAACUUACACAACCUAUGCCGAAACCUAUCAAAUCACGUCCAAUUGACCUCAAAUUUUGCAUACAAAUCACAUUCGACAUUACAGACCUGCUCGAACUUCCAGAAUCAAAAUCCGGCCCCAAUAAUAAAAAUUACACUCCCGGUCAAACUUUCCAAAAUUUCAACUUUUGCCAUUUCGAGCAAAUUCAACUACGGAGGUCCAAAUCACAAUCCAGACGCUCUCCUAAGUCCAAAAUUACCCAACGGAGCUAACAGAACCAUCAAAAAAUUCAACCCGAAAUCAAAUGUUAAAAAUCCAAAUUUGGUCAACUCUUUCAAAUUUAAAGCUCCCUAGUUGAGAAUCAUUCUUCCAAAUCAGUCUCGAAUAGCCUGAAAACCAAAACCGACAAUUCACACAAAUCACAAUACAUCAUACGGAGCUACUCACACCCGUAAACUAUCGAGCGAAGUGCAAAUGCUCAAAACGACCGAUUGUGUCGUUACAUAAGGCUGAGGGGUGGCACGAGUUUGUUCAUCGCGGUCGCGAGGAUGGGAACGCGACUGCGUGCCUUGGAGUAACUGGUCAUCGCGUUCGCGUCUGGCAUGUCGCGUUCGCUUAGGAGCUUUUGGCAGUUGGAAAUUUUUGUUCUUCACGAUCGCGAAGCUAUUUCCGCGAAUACGAUGUAUGACACCUAGGCAGACUAUAUAGUACUCUAUUUCGAGGGUUUGAGUCAUUAUAUCAUAUUUUGAGUUAGAGAGAUCGAUUUUGGGCGAUUUUGGAGGGAAUUUUCAUGACAUGGAUAGGGGUAAGUGUUUUUGACUCAGAUUUAUCCAUUAUUCAUGAUUCCAUCAUUGUUUUGAUCAGUUAAUUGAUGAUUUGAAUUGGAGAAAUUGGGAAUUUUUGUAAAAACUUUCAUAAAGUAUAUAUUGAGGAUUUGAAGGUCAAUUUGAGGUCGGAAUUAGAUGAUUUUGGUGUGGUUGGACUCGUAUCGGAAUGGGUGUUCUGAAUUUGUGAGUUUGGUUGGGUUCCGAGGUGUGGGUCCGGGGUUGACUUUUAAAUUUUUAUUAAAGGUUGAAUCUUUAUUAUCCGAAAUUGAGCUAUGGCUUUUAUUUAUGAUAUUAAGUUAUUUUGCCUAGAUUCGAGCAUCCGGAAUUGGAUUUGCACGGGAAUGGCUUAUUAGUGGAGUUAUUUAGCUUGUUUCAGGUAAGUGUCUUGCCUAACUUUGUGUUGGGGAACUACCCAUUAGGAUUUGGGUUGAUUGUACUAUUUGAACUAUGUGGAAGACGUGUACAUGAGGUGACGAGUGUGUACACGGGCUUAUAUGUAAAAAUUGACCAGGUUAGACUAUUAGGUUACUUAUAAGCAUUUAAUUGAAGUUGUUACUAUUUGUUCUAUCUUUCGUUGUCAAGUUUAUUCUUGCAUGCUUUACUUGAAGUUGUUAUUACAUGUCCUAGUUUUCAUUAUCAAAGUUUUCCUUAUAUGCAUUUAUUAGUAGUUGAGAAUAACUCAAGAAUGGAAAAAAAUAGCAUGUAACAUCAACUACUAAUAAUAAAUCCCCUUCUGGACGACUCUAAUCUAGCCAAAAUAACUUAAUAUCAUAAAUAAAAGCCAUAGAAAACAAUUCUGAAUAAUAAAGAUUCGAUCUUUAACUAAAAUCAAAAAGUCAACCUUGGGUCCGCACCUCAGAACCCGACAAAACUAACAAAUUCCGAACACCCAUUCCGAAAUGAGUCCAACCAUACCAAAGUCAUUCAAUUCCGACCUCAAAUCGGCCUUCAAGCCAUAAAUUUAUGUUUUAGAAAGUUUUUACUAAAAUUUCCAAUUUCUCCAAUUCAAAUCAUUAAUCAAACACUAAAAUCGAGGUUGGAAUCAUGAAAUAAUAACAAAUCCGAGUAAAAAAUAUUAACCCCAAUCAAAGUAGUAAAAAUCCCCUCCCAUAUCGCCCAAAACCGAACUUCAAAACCUUGUGAGAAAAAGUAACUAAAUUUCGUAACAAGAAAAAAAAUGUAGCAACUGUCCCAACUCGAAUCAGAUCUUAGAUGAUCCCGAAACUCACGUUUAAUAAUCCCAACAAGAUUCUUGCAAAAUUACGCUCAAGAUAGCCUCUUGAAUCACCCAACUUGGCUUUAAAAUGAGGAAGAUAUUAUAUUUUGAAGUUUUAAAAGAAAUCUGAAAAUUUCAGGGACAUAAAUGGCAUUUUCAUAAUUACUUACACCCGGAAAAAAAAUAAGCAAUAAGAAACUCUUUGUUUUAGCACCCAAAACUCAUUCGGAACCUCCCGGACACAAACCAUAUAUUCAUUUCAAUCAUAAAAUACGCUACGAACCUGCUCGCGCACUCAAACUACUGAAAAUAGGUGACCUUGAACCGAUAUUGACCAUGGACAAACUUCAAAUCCUUAACUUAACUAGUUUCUCAACCAAUGAUCCAAAAUACACCCGAGCCCCUCGGUACCCCAUCCAAUCAUACCAACAAGUACAAAUACAUCAUCCAAACUUAUUCAAAGCCUCAAAACACCAACGGAAACAUCACAACAAAGAAUCGAGACUCAAACCGAAUAGAAUUUCUCUUAAGUUGUUAAAUCUUUAUUCUUUAAAAAGAGUGUCUGAAUCACACUUAAAUACUUCGGAUUACUUUCAAACGUUGCACACAAGGUCAAUUCAACAAUAUCGACCAGUCGGGCCAUUACAUUCUCUCCCACUUAAAAAUGCGCUUCUCGAACGUGCCAACAGUUUUGCCAAAGCCAUCAAAUCAUUAUAUAAACUUGCCAUAUACAUACCCCAUGAGUGAUCCCACGUCACCUCAACCUAUAUAAGUUCGACAACACAUUCUACCGAAGAUUUGUACCUCAACUUAGCUCAAAACCCUUAGAACCUAAUCUCCAACUUUCGAAAUUCAAUAUAAUACCCAAUUCUCGUAUUUAUACCUUAUAUAAGUCUGAAUCAAGAUGCAUCAAGUUGUAACCAUAUCCCACGUAUAAUCACAUGAUAUUUCACAUAACCCAGAUACAUGUAGCAAUAGCUCCCGACCAUAAUAGCUGCUCAAAUAGCAAACUCGGUACCUAUAUAUAACCUCCUAUCAAUAAAAAUCUUGUUCCAAAUCUUCGUACACUGCCAAUGAUGAAAGAAACACGCAGAAACUCAUAACCACCCAUCACAUCAUCAAGCCAUGGAGCUCUCUUUCCCGACAAGAACCUUAGCCGAAAUCUAAGCUGACUAGUGACAUUAUCCUUCUAACAUACCUUAAUCAAAUCUGAUAACACUCAUUCCAGGUCAAAUAACCUCACCCUAUCCAGUACAAGUUGCUCUACCAAUAUGGCACACCAAUCCUAUUUAUAUUCGCAUACCAUGCAAUCCGUGCACCAACGAACAAUAGCUCAGAUAUACCCAAUGAUGGAAAGUGAAUGAAAUGAAAGAACCGCCCCGCCAGCUCAACAUAUACUAUCAACUGUGCCGGGUAAACAAAUUUGACCCGAUGUAGAAUACACAUUCUCAUUAAGCCUACCAAUGGCCUCCAAAUCAAUUUCGAUCCUUCCGAAAUAAGUAGAUAGCCUUUGAAAAGCCCACAAUAACAUAUCUAUAGCACAUACCAUCAGUCAUCCACCUCUUAGAAUACUUCACCGUCCGCAACCAUGGAAUAACCUGCCUCUGAGAAUCUUCUUCGUCUUCAGAUACUUAGAAUACCAUAAUCUCCAUAUUCGAUCCCUACUAUACUACUCAAAUGACUAACACAUUCAUCAUACACAACUAGUCCACGAGAAGUGCUUUCAUAAUUCCUUCUUGCCACAUAGCAAAAUCUGAACAUCAACGAUUGAUCAACCAUGUGAUUACCGUAAUACCAGUCAGGCAUCUGCAAGUCAAAACAUAGUGUGCCUUCUGAUGUAUGCACCCCCCUCGGGUGGUGUCAAAUAAUGCUAGCAUCCUUCUAAGCAUCUGGAAUCGUCCCUCCUAUCUAGAACUCGUGUCCCUAUUCAGGAGAAAAGAUCAUAACACGCAACAUGUUCCUUACGCCAGCAGCAAACAUCUGGCUCAAGCAGUGGUCGACACUAUCAAGAACUCUUCGAAACCCGUCCUCACAUAACCAAGCCAUCAUAACUGAAUUUCCCCAACUCAAUCAAUUCACGCAAGCCGUCCAACCUAACAGUAUUGCCAUAAAACACCAAUAGUGCAUCACCACACCAAAGGAACUAAUUACCUUUAUUACUAUCCUGACCCAUUAUCACCAAGCUGCAUUUCGGCGAAUCCCCCUCGACUUACCUUCAAGUUAAUACUUCUCCUUGCCGAUACACUACGAUCCUAAACCAAAGCUCCCCGCAAGAGACCCUAGCACGAACCACGUCGUUUGAAAGCCCAUAAACUACUCGGUUUUCUCUUAAGCACCCAAUAAUGCCGCAGCCGAGAUUCCCGCUUUGAAGAGACCUUCUGUGAAUCUAAUGUUUUUUUCUCUAACCUCUCUGAUACUGAAAUAUAUAAUGAAUAUACAUACAGAAAUACCGCAAGUAUCAGCACUAUCCCAUGUAAGUCUUAUAUUUUUGCCAUAUACAAUUUUGGGGAACCCUUCAAUACCACAUAUAUACCUCAGACCAAAACUGAUAUAACACAUAAUUAUGCAAUCUGACCGUUGAUAAUAGACUCCCCCACUUGGCGCGAAGUCAUAAGACAUAACAUUCGAUGAUCCACAAUACCAACCUGCAUAAGCUCGUACAACACCAAUCAUAAGAUACUACAAAUCAUCUACUAAGCGCAUGUCCACUCUCGUGACGGUCAAGCUCGAUUCCUCAAGUGCCUUGAAUGACAACAUGUACCUUUCACUGAAUAGAAGUCCAUAGUAAACACAUAGUCUCUAAUACCACUAACUAUCCUCAAAUCAACAUCCUCUCAUGACCCUACUAACGAUCACAACGACUAGGCAACCAAUUAAAUCUUCCCAUGCUCGUACUCACCAACUAGAUACAAGAACCUGUUGCAUCCCACACUUGAACAACUGAAGAUAUACCAAUAUUUUCACGUCCUCAGUCUAAACAACAUAUCGAGACAAUGAUUGAGCAUCCAUGGCCCUCUCAUUGCCCAUCCGCAGCAUCACAAACCGUUAGUGCAUAGUUGAUACAGAGUGCAAUAUCGUAUACGAGUGGAUGCAAAGGAAUUUCAGAUAUGUGCUUCAAGCUGAAUCAAUGAUGCACAAUAAGGAAUGAAAGAAGUGGAAUUUCCUGUAGUUUCAUAGCCCCCCGAAGAUAAGUACAGAUGUCUACGUACCGAUCCAAAAAACUCUACUAAACUUGCGUAUGACUCGUAGCACCGCUGAACCUAGAGAUAUGAUACCAACUUGUCACGACCUCAAAAUCAUGCCUUAGGAAUCUUGAUGGUACCUAGUAUCUAAGACUAGAUAAGCCUAAUACAUGAAGAGAUCUGACAUAUAUAACAAACUCAACUAUAUAAAAAUUGAACUAAUAUAUGAAAUUACGUAACUAAAACUGAACAAUAGUUAUACAAAUCCCUAGAACCGGUAGUACAAAGUCAUAAGCUCUACAGAAAUACACUAGAAUCUCUAAACAAUACUGCUUUGAUAUGAAGAUAUAUAGUAGUAAAGAAAAUAUCAAGAGGUGACUCCGAGGCCUGCGAGCAUCAAGCAGGUAUACCUUGAAGUCUCUAGCCGCGCAGACAUAACUCUCAAAGCCAACACGAUCCGAAGUACCUGAAUCUGCACAAAAAUAUGUAAAAACAUAGCAUGAGUACACCACAACGGUACCCAAUAAGUAUCAAGACUAACCUCAGUGGAGUAGUGACGAGGUAAGUCAAAACACCCACUAGACAAUAACUUGUGUAAGCAUAUAAAUCUAAAGCUAACAAUGGAAAUAAGCAUCAAUAUAAGGCUAACAACGGAAGGGAUAUUAAUAUAAGACUAAUAACAGAAUAAUGGAAACAACAAAUGGCAACGAGAAGUAAGCAAGUGAAAACAUGGCAAAGCAAUCAGGACACAGUUAAAAUAUGAAUAAAAUCUAUUAGCAUAAACAAAUGGCAACUCAUGUAAUCAAGUCGUCUCAAUUCAUGAUUUACAACAACAUUCACCCUGAGGCACCACACCUCAUAAUCACAAAUCAUAGGCACAAUCACGAAUCUAAACCCAUGGCACCUCAUGCCCACAUUAUUAAUCACCUUCGCAAGGUAAAGUCCACGUGCUACCACGUACAUUGUAUCUGUAUCAAUUGCCAAAUAAAAUGUUCGAGAGAUUUAUUUAAAUACAAUAAGCCAUAAUAACAAUCUUCAAUAAAGUAAAGCGUCAAAUUAGAUAAUGAGUUUAUUGUAGGAAUCAAGUAAAGUAAAAUAAGGUACAAUUUGUACAAAUUAGAGUAUCAAAUGAGUUUAGUUUAGAAAUCAAUAAGGUAAAGUAAAAUAACAUUUUUUUAAAUAAAGUAAAACAUCGGAUAAUUUUACAAAUUAGAUAUAGAAUUAGUUAAAGUAAAGCGUGAUAUCAAUUUUAAGUAAAGUAAAACAUAAAAUAGGGUAAUAAGUUUAAUUUGAGAAUCACUUAAAGUAAAGCAAGAUAACCAUUAAAGAAAACAGUAAAGCACCGAGUAAGAUUCGAGUUUUAUCUUAAAAGUCACAUAAAAUAAAGCAUGUUAAUAAUUCUUUUAUUUAAAACUGUUAUGUUACCAAUAACUCGACAGAGUAUUAGAUAAUGACUCCACGCAAGUAAAUUCAUCUUGAAAAUCAAUUCAGCAAGUAACACGGAAGCAUAGGUUGGCACAUUAAAGCAAGACAACAAAUCACGUAGAAUGUAUGACUCACUUAAGAAGUCACAAUCGUUCCAACACAAAACUAACAACAAAUAACCAAGUACAAUUAAAAUACAAGUGAGAAGAUUUAAAGAAAAGUAAUAACCGUUCAAAUCAACAAGCAUUUCCAAUGUAGAAUGCACAACAAAAUCACCCUGAGGUACCACACCUCAUAUUCACAUUUCACAAAUCAGAAUCACAAUCUUCCUUAUAUGUCACAACCCAAAAUCUCUCAUUAGGAGUCGUGAUGGCACCUAGUCCCUAGGACUAGGUAAGCCUAACACAUAAUGAGUUAUUAACAGAUUUAAACCAAUUGAUCAUUUAACAUGAACCGAAAGUUCCCAUACAUCACCAACUACAGAAAAUAGAUAUAAAACAUCCCAAAACCGGUAGUACAAAGUCAUAAGCCUUUCUAAGAUUAACGAAAAAUAUCAAAUGCAUCACUAUUUGGAAUAGAAAUAAACAGUGACAAAGAAAAACUCCAGAAGGUGACUCCGAGGCCCGCGAACACGAUGGCAAGUAUACCUUGAAGUCUCUGCAGCAACUCACGAUCAGCUAUCUAAUGACCAGCAUGCUCUGAGGUAUCUAGAUCUGCACAAAAAUGUGCAGUAAGCAUAGCAUGAGUACACCACAGCGGUACCUAAUAAUUAUCAAGACUAAUCUCGGUUGAGUAGUGACAAGGUACAGUCGAUACAUCUACUAGACAUAAUAAUCUAUACAAGUAUUGAUAUAAAACUAAUAUGGGAACGAAUAUCAAUAUAAAGCUAAACAUGGAAGGAAUAACGAUAUAACAUUAGAAAAUUGAAAGUAGAAGUAACAAAUAGCAACAAGGAAUAAACAGGUACUAACGCCGUAAAGUAAUCAGAGCACAGUUAAAGUCCCAGUGAAACCAAGUAAGGAAAAACAAGUAACAACCAAAUAAUCAACCGUUCUUACACAAGGUUUACACAAGAAUCACCCCCGAGGUACCACACCUCAUAAUCACAAUCACGGGUCCCAUGUCACGAAUCAUAAUCAAUUGGAAUUUCGUGCCCACAUUACCAAUCAUAACCGCACGGGGAAACUCAUGUGCUGCACGAACAACUCACGUACUAAUACCAUUAAUACCUCAUAUCUGCAUGGACAACUCACAUGCCAAUAGUAACAAUACCUCAUAUCCGCACGGACAACUCACGUGCCAACAGUCCAAUCCAAGCACAUAUGGCGGGUAUACAAGAAUAAAUGUAUAUGAUCAAUAAACAUCAAGAUUCAUACUCUUGUACUGAUAUGGGUGACAUAUUACAGUGUAUGCUUGUGCAAGUGUACUAUCACAGCUCAAGUCAACAAGUAAAAUCUGAGACACCGAGUAGCACAUUAGAAUCAACACAAAAAAAAUUGUAAUAUGCAUGACACACAGAAAAAGCUCACACCACCACACAAUUACCAUCAAUAUCAAUUUCCCCAGGCCAUCAUGAACCAUCCCCGACAUAGCUCAUCUUGUCUCGUCGCGUGCGCAAUAAUAAAGUAAAUGUCCGUCUUGUCUCGCCACAUGCGCAUAAUAAGUAUCCCAUCUUAUCUUUUCACAUACGCAAACUCAACAUAUACAUAGCCUGACUUGUCACGCUGCAUGUGCAAAUAUCAAUGGUAAUAAUAGCACAGAUAACUCAUAUGCAAAUACCCCGACAAUCCUCUCAAUAAUCCCACAUUUUCCAAAAAUAAAUCAACACAAUAUAACAACUCGUACCAUAUGUGCCCAUAUACCAUAUCGUUUCCAUAACAAAAAUUCUAAUACUACAACCACACAUAGCACACGGCUCAACAAGACCGAAUACAGCAAGAACAAUAAUAACACGAAAGUACGGCAAGUAAAUCAACACAAGAAUUACAACAAUACAAUGAAAUGGAAGAAUAAACUCAGCAGAGAAAGGCAUAACAUGUAAUAACGACCUCAAGUAAGAGUAGUUCAUCAAUAAGAGAGAUAACAUGUAACAUCGACUUCAAAUACGAAUUAACCGACUAUGAAAGAGAUAGCAUGUAAAAGACUUCAAAUAAGAAUAAAUCAACAAAGGAAGAGAUAACAUGUAAUAAUGACUUCAAAUAAGAAUAAAUCAACUAUGAAAGAGAUAACAUGUAACAAGAGCUUCAAAAAAGAAUAAAUCAACUAUGGAAGAGAUAACAUGUAGAAAUUACUUCAAAUAAGAAUAAAUUGACUAUGGAAUAGAUAACAUGUAGCAAUGACCUCAAAUAAGAAUAAAUCAACUAUGGAAGAGAUAACAUGUCAACAAAAGAGGCAACGACUUCAACUAAAGAAUAUAAGAGUAUAUUUGGCAAUAAGAGAUAGAACAUGAACCAAUAACUUCAAAUAAAGCAUGUAAGGGUAAGUUUAACAAUUGAGAAUAUAACAUGACAGGGCAACUUCAAUUAAAUGCACAUAAAAAAUCUAAGGGUCUGAACCGGUCAUAUUUACACAUAUAACGUCGUGUACUCACUCGUCACCUCGUGUACGCGUCCUUCACGUAAUUCAAAUAGUGCAAUCAAACCAAUCCCUAUGGGGUAGUUCCCCCACACAAAGUUAGGCAAGUUACUUACCUCAACUAGGCCAAAUCAACACUCACAAAUAGGUUUUCCUUAACAAUUCACCUCUACUCGGCUCAAAUCUAACCGAAAUUGACUUAACAUCAAGUAAUGCAAGAGAAAUCAAUUCCAAUAGAUAAAAUUAAAAUCUUCACACAAUUCCCCAAAAGUCAACUCCGGGCUUGCCCGGUCAAAACCCGGGUCCAAGGGUAGAUUCCGACUACCCAUAACCCCAAGAGUCCAUAUAUGUGUUUUGUUUCAAAAUUCGAGUCCAAUUCGACUCCCAAAUCCUAAAUUUUCAUUUUUCAAAACAUAGACAAAGUUUCUCAAAAUUUCACUUUGAUUCUCACAAAUUUGAUGUUAAAUCUCAUAUAUAACCAUAUAAAAUAGUUGAAAAUUGUUCAAAAUCACUUAUCCAAUGAUUGUAGAUGAAAAUCCCUCCUCAAAAUCGCCUCCUACCGAGUCUUCUAACGUUCAAAGAUAUGAGAAAUGAGGCUAAAAUUUCGUCUCCUAGCUUUUAUGUUCAGACGCAGGUGUCGCAAAUGCGAACCCCCCAAAUGCGAAGAAUGAUCGCAAAAGUGACAUCCCUCUCAGUCUUGCUGACGCUGCAAAUGCAACAAAAUGUUCGAAAAUGCAAACAUAGAGCACAUUGCAAAAGCGAUCAAAAUGACCGCAAAUGCGACUCAGCCUAGCCCAAGCCCCUAUCGCAAAAGCGAACAUUUUGUUUGCAAAUGCGAACCUGACAGUCUCCAGCUCUUAUCGCAAAUGCGAUGUCCCCCGUUGUAAAUGCGAACAUAUUCUCGUAUUUGCGAGACCUGAUGUAUCUGUGCAAAAACCAGCAAAGCUAAAAUUCCUCCAAACAGUCUGAAACGCGUCCGAAACUCACCCGAGCACUCGGAGCUCCAAACCAAACAUCAACACAAAUCUAAAAACAUAAUACAAACUCGCUCGCACGAUCAAAACACCAAAAUAAGUUCUAAAACCAUGAAUCAUAUAUCAAAAUGCAUGAAAUUUUUAUGAAACUCAAGAACUCUAUAAACACAACCGUGCAUCUGAUUCCUAUCAAAUCAACUCUGAAUGACACCAAACUUUGUAGACAAGUUCCAAAUAAAAAAAUAGACCUAUUCCAAGUCCCAAGGAAUAGUCAAACCAUAGUCAAACCUAAGGAAUUUCUAAACCUUCAAAUUGCCAACCUUCGGCAAAAUAAGCCAAGCCAACCUAGAGACCUCCAAAUUUAAUUCUGGGCAAACACCCAAGUACAAAAUCACAAUACGAACCUACCGGAGUCAUCACAACACUGUUCCGGGGACAUUUUCACAACAUUCAAACCCUGGUUAACAUUUUUAACAUAAAUUUCUAAAAUGAGAACCACUCAUCCAAAUAAAUUCCAAAACAUCCGAAAAUCAAAUCCGACCAUUCACGCAAGUCAUAAUACACCAUAUGAAGCCACUCAAGACCUUGAACCACUGAAUGGAACUCUAAGGCUCAAAACGACCGAUCGGGUCGUUACAUUCUCCCUCUCUUAAACAAACGUUCAUCAUCGAACGUGCCAAGAGUCUUUCCAAAGCCAUCAAAUCACUGUAUAAAUGCAUCAUACACCUACACACAGGUGAUCCCACAUCACCUCAAACCACAUAGUCCUGGCAACACCGUUUUUCACCGAAGAGCAUUCCUUCCACUCAUGCCGAUAAGCCUUAGAAUCAGAUUUUCACAUUAACCAAGGGUCUUAUUAACACACAAACACAUUGCAAUAUCCUCAUCUAGUCGUAACAGGUUAUGCAUACAUCCACAAGGUAUAACCACACGAUGCAACACAUCACCCAUAUUUCCAUAACAACUCUGACCACAAUAGAUGCCCUUUACCAAACCCAACAUCGGCAAAUAGCUUUAUAUCGACUAAAACAUUGUUCCAAACUUUCACAACACUGACAAUUAUGCAAGAAACAUGUGAACUCAUAAUUCAAACCCAAGAAGCACAACUCGAAUAUGAUUGAACAUGGACAGAGAAACAUGCGAGAGAACUAUCAAACAAGUCCGACUGGCAUAACUCCCUAUCGAUACCAUACUACAGAUCCAAUACACAAAGAAGAAGUAAGAUACACGCAACGAGCACAACGAAUCUUACCCUAAUAUAACCUCACCGCAACACGUAUCCUGGUACAAACACACCUAUCCACAAGGAACACCAGGUUCACAUCCUCCUCUCGGAAUCACAAGUAAGAUAAACAUCUCAACAACUAAAACACUAUAAUAACUCAAUCUCUUAGAACCAAUAUCGUAAUGCGUAAUAGACUUCCCACGCAUGUAGAGCACCCAAACCUCAAGUUGCACUAAACCAUAUAGAAAUCACAUCAUAACCAACCGUAUUUAACUUACAGAAAGUCCGCCUAAGCCCCAUGACCCUCAAUAGCAACCAAACAAGGGUGAUAUACAUGAGCUAUCACAAUAGAAUUCCCAACUGGUGUGAACACAUGAACAAAGUACAAAAAAUCACAAAACACAAUCAUAUCUAAAGCAAGAUAAGAUGAAUCUUACCAAUAAGUGGUACCAGAUCGAAAUAAUAAUAAUGCAUCUCUAUAAUGAACCGAAACCAUACAUGUAAUGAUAUCAUCUGGUACAUUAGCCUCAGUCCAAUCAGGAAAAGCAUAACAAUGGGCUUGGCUUCCCCCUCUAUGACGACCUCCACCCGCCCGACCUCAACCCGUAGCUGGCGGUGUAAGCAUAUCAGCAACUGGGAUGGAACUCAUAGCCUGAAUACACUGCUGUGGCACACCCAUCCAGAGUCUGGGACAAUCCCUCAUCAUGUGGCUGGUAUCCCCAUAUUCAAAGUAGCCUCUCCGCUGACGUGGCUGUGGAAGCUGUACGGUACGGGUACUCUAGGACCCAUGGAUAUCUGAAACACCACAUGAAGCCUCAAGUUAAAAACUGAACUGGAUGACCCACAAAACCUCUACCAUGAUGCAACAUGCCUCAAAAUAGGGAUCAGUAGAUCCUCCCCAUGCAAACUAAACUAGUUGACCCACAAAACCUCUACCAAACAAUCUGAAAUGCCGAAACUUACCCGAGCCCUCGGGGCUCCAAACAAAACAUCAACACAAGUCUAAAAAUAUAAUACGAACUCGCUCGCUCGAUCAAAAUACCAAAAUAAUUUGUAAAACAGCGAAUCGGACAUAAAAAUGCAUGAAAUUUACAUGAAACUUAAGAACUUCUAAAAACACAACCGCGCGUCCGAUUCCUUUCAAAUCAACUCGGAAUGACGCCAAACAUAGCAGACAAGUUCCAAAUAAAAAACCGGACCUAUUUCAAGUCCCAAAACAAAAAACCAAACCUGAUAGCCAUAAAGUCAAACCAUAGUCAAACCAAUAGAAUUUCUAAACCUUUAAAUUGCCAACCUUUGGCAAAACAAGCCGAAUCAACCUAGGGACCUCCGAAUUCAAUUUCGGACAUACACCCAAGUCCAAAAUCACGAUACGAACCUACCGGAGUCAUCAAAAUACCGUUCCGGGGUCGUUUUUAGAAAUGUCAAACCUCGGUCAAUAUUUUCAACUUAAGCUUCUAAAAUGAGAAUCACUCAUCCAAAUAAAUCCUGAAACAUCCAAAAAUCAAAUCUGACCAUGCACACAAGUCAUAAUACCCCCAUAUGAAUCCACUCAAGACCUCGAACCACUAAACAGAACGCUAAAGCUCAAAAUGACCGAUCGGUCGUUACAUUAUAUCACCGCGUGAGCCUUGCAUUUAUUUCAAAAAUAUUUUUCCUGAAAUAGCUACACGCGCUUUAGCCCCCUUAUCUCACCGCGUGGCUUCAAGUAUUUCCCUUACUAGCAACACACAUAUAAGUCCCACCUUAUCUCACUGCAUGUUUGUCAAUACCCACCCUUAUACCACCGCAUGUGUUUCAUUAUCACAACAUAAUAAUCAAAUCGCACCACACGUGCCCAUAUGCCACAACAUUGCCAAAAUCAACAAUACUAGUGUUACCACAACACAUAACCCAUGGCUCAACCACAAUAUGCACAAAAAUCUCAAUAACAAACAAAUGAACGAGAAAUAACUCAACAAGGAAAGGUAUUCUAAUAACCAACAAUUUUGAUCACAAAAGUGUUAAUAACUCUUCAGCAACCACAACUUCAAUAGAUCAACAAGGAAGAUAGUUCCAUGAAAUGGCAACUUCAAAUUCUAAUGCAUAACAUAGGCUUAACAAUGAAAGAGAUAGCAUGAAAUAGCAACUACAACUAAAUGCAUGAGAAUAACUCGACUACAUAAAGAAUAGCAUGUAGCAACAACUACUAAUCAAUGCAUAUAAGGGAAAACUCGAAUAUGGGAACUCGGCCAUGUAAUAACAACUUCAAUUAAAACACGUAAGAAUAAACUUGACAACAAAAGGUAGAACAAUUAAUAACAACUUCGAUUAAAUAAUUAUAAGUAACCUAAGAGUCUAAAUACGGUUAAUUUCACAUAUAAAACUGUAUACACACUCAUCACCUCAUGUACACGUCUUUCACAUAAUCAAAUAGUAAAAUCAAAUCCAAUCCCAAGGGGGAGUUCUCCCACACAAAGUUAGGCAAGAUACUUACCUCAAACAAGCUAAAUCAAUCUACUAAUAAGCCCUUCCCGCAUAAAUCCACUUCCAAACGGUUUGAAUCUAACUAAAAUAACUUAAUAUCCUAAAUAAAAGCCAUAGGACAUAAUAACAGAUAAUAAAGAUUCGAUCUUUAACUAAAAUAAAAAAGGUCAACCACGGGCCCGCACCUCGGAAGCCAACAAAACUCACAAAUUCCGAAUACGCAUUUUGAAACGAGUCUAACCAUACCAAAAUUAUUCAAUUCCGACCUUAAAUCGGCCUUCAAACCAUCAAUUUGUGUUUUAGAAAGUUUUUACUAAAAUUCUCAAUUUCUCAAAUUCAAAUCAUUAAUCAAAUACUAAAAUCGUGGUUGGAAUCAUGAAAUAAUAAUAAAUCCAAGUCAAAAAUACUUACUCCAAUCCAAGUAGUAAAAAUCCCCUCCCAUAUCGCCCAAAACCGAGCUCCAAAACCUUGUGAUAAAAAGUAACUAAAUUCCGUACCAAGAAAAAUAAGGCAGCAGCUGUCUCAGCUCGAAUCAGGUCCUAGAUGAACCCGAAACUCAUGUUUAAUAAGCCCAAUACGAUCCUUACGAGAUUACACCUAAUAUAGCCUCUUGAAUCACCCAAUUUGGCCUUAAAAUGAGGGAGAUACAAUGUUUUGAAUUUUAAAAGAAAUCUGAAAAUUUCAGGGACAUAAAUGACAUUUUUGUAAUUACUUACACCAGAAAAAAAAAAUCAGCCAUAAGAAAAUCUUCGUUUUAGCACCCAAAACUCAUUUGGAACCUCCCGGACAGGAACCAUAUAUGCAUUUCAAUCAUUAAAUAAGCUACAACCCUGCUUGCGCACUCAAAACACCUAAAAGAGGUAAUCUUGAGCCGAUAUUGACCAAGGUCAAACUUCAAUUCCUUAACUUAACUAGUUUCUCAAUCGAUGAUCCAAAACACACCCGAGCCCCUCGAAACCCCAUCCAAUUAUACCAACAAGUAAAAAUACAUCAUCCAAACUUAUCCAAAGCCUCAAAACACCAACAGGAACAUCACAACAAAGAAUCGAGGCUCAAACCGAAUAGAAUUUCUCUUAAGUUCUUAAAUCUUCAUUCUUUUAAAAGAGUGUUCGAAUCACACUUAAAUACUUUAG
rnacentral:lncRNA from 1 species